GUGUCAGCCGCCGCGGUAAAACGUAGGAGGCAAGCGUUAUCCGGAUUUACUGGGCGUAAAGCGCGUGCAGGUGGUGCGCUAAGUCGUGCGUGAAAGCUCCCUGGCUUAACCGGGAGAGGUCGUGCGAUACUGGCGGACUGGAGACAAGGAGAGGCAAGUGGAAUUCCGGGUGUAGUGGUGAAAUGCGUAGAGAUCCGGAGGAACACCAGUGGCGAAGGCGGCUUGCUAGCCUUGAUCUGACACUCAGACGCGACAGCAUGGGGAGCGAACGGGAUUAGAAACCCUAGUAGUCC
rnacentral:rRNA from 1 species